rnacentral:lncRNA from 1 species
CAAAUCUUAGCUCUCUUCCUUUGGAAGCCAAGUCAAAGAAAAAAAAUCUAUGCUACAUUUGGUAUAUUUGUUUUCUUUUUCUUCCACUGUCUCUGCUGACACCCUACACAGGGAAACUCAACAGCACAGGGUACCCCUUCCCAUCCCGUGGUCUGUGCGUCUCUCCCUCCUAGUUAGGGGGUCCAUGGGGGUCUUCAGAACCUCCUGCAUUGAACCCCUGCCCGACCUCAACACUGUACCAUGGUGUGUCCGGAAUGCUCUCCACUCAUCCAAACCGUAUGCUUUCAAGUUUUCAGUUUGAGA